UUAUAUGCAAAGGACAAAAAAAUAAACAUGCAAUGCAGUUGAUUCAAUUGGUUUUAAGAAACUAUGGAUGAAUGGUGUUGUUGGGGGUUUACAAUUUCAUCUUAUCCACUCUCAUAUAUCUACUCUUCUUAUUUACUUCACUUAUUUAUCUAAUUGUCAUGCAAACUUUCUAAUUUACCCUUAACCCAAUCCCAUGGUGAAAAGAGCCUAUUAUUAAUUACCGACUUGCUAUCCCUAGCCUCCCCUAGUAACCAAUGAUGCAAUGCGAUCGGAAGCAACUACAAUUGACCGUCCUACCCCUAUCCCUAGGGGAUAUUGGCAUAAUCAAGGACUUUCCCA
rnacentral:lncRNA from 1 species